rnacentral:tmRNA from 1 species
AGAAAAUCGUUAGUGAAGCUACGCCCGUAGAAGAGUUCGGUUCGAUGUCAUGGACGGGGGUUCGAUUCCCCCCAUCUCCACCA